ACGCUCGACACCUACGGGGGCAGCAGUGGGGAAUAUUGCACAAUGGGGGAAACCCUGAUGCAGCGACGCCGCGUGAAGGAAGAAGUAUCUCGGUAUGUAAACUUCUAUCAGCAGGGAAGAAAAUGACGGUAUCUGACUAAGAAGCCCCGGCUAACUACGUGCCAGCAGCCGCGGUAAUCUGAGCGGGCUGGCAAGGC
rnacentral:rRNA from 1 species